UACGGAGGAUGCGAGCGUUAUCCGGAUUUAUUGGGUUUAAAGGGUGCGCAGGUCGGGGGAUUAAGUCGGCGGUGAAAUUUUGCAGCUCAACUGUAAAAGUGCCUUCGAAACUGGUUUCCUUGAGUGUAGAUGAAGUAGGCGGAAUUUGUGGUGUAGCGGUGAAAUGCAUAGAUAUCACGAGGAACUCCGAUUGCGCAGGCAGCUUACUAAACUACUACUGACGCUCAGGCACGAAGGCGUGGGGAUCAAACAGGAUUAGAUAUCCGCGUA
rnacentral:rRNA from 1 species